GUUAAGUCGGUUGGGUGGAGGUUGGCGAGGUGAUUGCUUUCAAUGCCCAUGGCUUGAGACAGAUGCCCAUGGCAUGAAAACCUGGAUAGUCCUCUGGAUUGGGAACUGCAUCCUUACGGUUGUGGCCACGAUAAAAUGGAUAUCACACUUCUCCACUCCAAUCCCUUUUGCCUGUCUAGCACAGAAAGAAAUGGAUCACUUCCCAGAACUUGCAUCUCCCGGGGGUCAUGUUACCGGAAAUCCUCUUGAUCUCAGUGUGUGUGAGAGAGACUUAAAGACUCCCGAAUCCCUGUGAGAUCCUAUAUGGCCAUCAGUCCAAAAGCUGUCAACUUGUGAUAUGUGGUUCACCCCUGAUUGGAGGAAGAGCUCCUCUCCCUUCCAGGUGCUAUUCCCAAGGAAAUGCUUGGGCUAUUUAAUUCCACAAGGUGUUUCGAGAUCAUGACACCAGGAAGAAUUCAGCUGAACAACCAGAACUUCAGACAAGCGACCAAGAAAUGUUUUAGACUAUAUUUAAAACCAUGGCAAAACACCAUCACUUAACUACUUCUCAUCUGAAAAAAGAGAAAUAAUCAUCUGUUCUUCAAUUCAGUUACAUAGAACACAGAUACACAGAAAAUAACACAGUCAUAAUGGGACAUGUGAAGGAUAUAAAUAGUACUAAAAAUCUAAAUGAUUCCACAUUCUGGCACUGUAAUCAUUCUUCAGACAGUUGAAAUAUCAAGAAUGACAGCAUUUCAAGCAAAUGAGCUUGCCGUUGUCACACAGAGGGCAAUACUAGCUCUCUUAACUGUCAGAACUGCUGGUGGGCGAGCUCCCUGAAUGCACCUGCAACUGUGUGGGAACUAUUUUCCUGUUAUACUAUUCCAUAUUGCUGUAUAUCACAAUUCUGUGAGUGGUGCUGAUCAUAAGCAUUUUCUCACCACCCAUUUGCCAACUUACCAAUUAAGCAAAGGCUAUGUGAGUUUUGAGGAUGACUUUACAGAAAGAGAGGCAGCUUAACAUAGACACACUGGGAAGAGUUCCCAACAGAAAGAGAUUUAAAUCUCAGUCCAAAUUACUCUAUUGUCUAAAUAUAUGUGUUUCCUGUUUUUAUGGAUUUGUCAAUUAUGAGCCAACGGACCAAGAAAAAAGUACAAGUAGUAACACCCAACGGCUCUACAGGAUGCAGCAUCCUUGACCUUUCUGUAUUAAAGGUUCCUGCAAGAUAAGAGACAUCCGCACAAACUACAACUUUAGUAACAUUUGCAGAAAUCAUUUCUACUUACAAGUGAAAAUGGAAAUGGGGACUUGCAUUCCGACACACUGCAUUGUUAGCAAUUCUCUAUAGAGAACUGAAAGUAUAAAUAGAAAUCUUGACCAGCUUCAACAUCAGUACACAGCACUAAUAGUAAACAAAAGUUAGUACUGGUCUAGGAAUUCUCAAAAAGAAUGAAAUACAUCUGAGCUUCAAGAAAUGAACUGAAGAGAGUACAGGAAAAAAUGGGUCCAGAAAUAUCACCACCCUAGAAAUAAAAUUUUACUCGCUCUUCCUGUAACCUACUAAGAUCACAAUACAUGGUGUCCCAAUUAAAAGAGAAAGAAAGUUAGAAGAAAUGUGAUUUGUAUUUGGAAAAUGUCCAAGUAAUGUUCAGAACUGACAAUUUCAGGCAACUGAGCUAGAUAUAAU